rnacentral:rRNA from 1 species
UACGGGGGGAGCAAGCGUUGUUCGGAUUUACUGGGCGUAAAGGGCGCGUAGGCGGCCAGCACAAGUCAGUUGUGAAAUCUCCGAGCUUAACUCGGAAAGGUCAACUGAUACUGUGCGGCUAGAGUGCGGAAGGGGCAACUGGAAUUCUUGGUGUAGCGGUGAAAUGCGUAGAUAUCAAGAGGAACACCUGCGGCGAAGGCGGGUUGCUGGGCCGACACUGACGCUGAGGUGCGAAAGCGUGGGGAGCAAACAGG